GUGUGGUAAACCUCCACUCCAGCUCCGGGAAAUCCAGUCUUACCCAAUCCUCAGCUCCGGUCCUCCUGCCCAUCGAGGCCCAGCCCUGCCCAGGCAGCAUAUAUGAGCAGCAGCCUGCAUGGAGCUCAGUCUGCAGGGAAACCCACUGACCACAGCUGCACAGAAUCCCAUUCAUUUUACACAGGAUUUAACCAAACUCGUAAAAAACUGCAGAUCUGUUACAACAGACUGACAGCAACAAUCGGAAAUGGAGCUUCUGCAAACCGCCCUCGUCAUCACCCUCCUUACAAUAACGUCUGCUAAGCCGAUGCGUUAUCGUGACCAUCAUGACGCCGACAUCGCCGACAAAGACUGGACUCAAGGGCUCCAGGACCAGAACUACUGGUGGCUUUACCAGCUCAGGGGGUACAACCGCCACGACGACUCCAGCGAAUCCUCAGAAACCGAGUCGUCUGAGUCCUCUGAGGAGGAUGGAAGUACAGUCGCCCCUGAACCGGACACGACACCCACAAAUGGACCGACCGUGAUGGAGACGACUCAACAGCCGGGGACACCGACCAUACCUGUCGACAUCACAUCACCUUGUGCUGGUGGUCAAUGUGUCAUAUAUGAGAUCCCAACAGAAGAUCCCGUCACAGACAACAGAGGAGACAACUGAGCAGCUAACUAACCAUAUUCCUACUAAGGGGUUGUUGUUUUCCAACCCAGUCUCCACAAAAUCCCAUUUCUAUACAAUUAAACUGAAUUCUAGUCUACAUCUUGAAGGGAAUGUCACUUUGUUUUGAUAUGAAUGUAAUUUGUGACCUGGGAUAUGGUGGGAGGAGAUCAGGAAGGGAGGAUGGAGGCAUAAACUAGCAAUUGAACUUUCACCUAGAAGACCAGAGUUUGUGUCCAAUGAUGUACGAGAGACCAUCAGAAAUAAAAUUACUUUCCUGGUUGGGUUUGGGGACCAAAACUAGGUGGUUAUGAAAAGAUAACACUCUGUUGGACAGUUUUAUGAGUUAGAAUCUAGGUUAUGGUUGGACACCAAAAUGACUUGGUCACGGCUUGGAAAAAUGUCAGCAACAGUGAAGCAGUAAAGUAAAUCUCAAAGAUAUGUUGAUUAGAAAUGUAUGUAAUCAAUCAGAAAAUAGCUGAGACUGUUGUUUAGUUGUACAGAAAUGUAAUUUAAUGGAGACUGGGAUGUAUUUUUGGGGCAUUGCGUGUAUAUUUACGAGAGUUAAAGUUCAGCGGGUCAAUUGUGGGCUGGCUUUUUCCACAUUAAAAAAAACUAAUUCUUGAUUAUUUCUCUAAUGUGCAUCUUUUUUUGCUUUUUUUUUAUCAAUGCAAGAAACCAUUUGAUGAGCCUGUACAGAGCCUUGCUUUCUCAUUUUUACUGUUGUAUUAGUUCACAGUAGGUCUUUGUUAGCUUUAGUGUGAUCUAUCGGACUAGAGAACUUUUUUUUUAACUUGAUUAUUUUCAUACAGAGUCAAACUUCACACUAUGAAACAAAUCAGACAAAGAGAUGUAAGUCUUUAGGCAGAACAACCUCAGAGAUCCACUUGAAAAUAAUAUUGAUGCCACUUGAAAUGAAAUUCUAGGAAGACUAACCAACAGUAGGGAACUGCAGUAAUGAUGUACAGUGUAGACGGGGUUAAAAUAUCUGACCAGGUCCCAUAAUGUGAAAAUAGCCAUUGUUGCUUUAGAGAAUGGGGUUUAUUGAUGCCUGCUGGUACUUUGGGAGUUAGAUUAUGUAAUUUAUAUACACAACAUAACAUGCGUUACUAUGAAAAUGUUAAAUUACAUUAACUAAGCAUACAUUAGGAUAUAUUACUGAUAGUAUUCUGUUGUGUGUUUUUUUUUAACAUGGCAUGUUGACCUGUGGUGUUUCAGCUGUCAAACGAUGCUACAAACCACUUUUACAAAUAUAUGUUGGGAUAACAUUGACAAAUCUGUGUCUUAUUUGCGUGUUCAUUUGAGCAUACUUUAACUUUUUUUGUUCAUUGUUGGAAAUUCACCAAAUAUCUGCAAAAAUUCUGUCUACUUAAGGAUUAUCUUCAGUUCAAUGCCUCAUUUAAACAUUUAUCUCACCAUUAAAUGUGUAAACCAGCAAUGGUUGCUGUAUCUAUAUGUUGUACUGUAAUUGUUCAAAAGCAAACUCCUUGUGUGUCAGGAAUCCACAGUAUGUAACCCACAGCAGAGUGUUUACACGCUGUGGACUGUGGGUGCGUCCUGUUUGUCUUCGAACAUCUCGUCUGUUGUCUGUACAUGCUGACGAAGACUGAGGUCUUGCCGCAGUGGGGCUGGUUUAAUUACGGGUUAUGAAUUUAUCUUUCGCUUAAUUAAACACGGCGCAGACAGCCAAAAAAAAAACAAUACCUUCAUGUUGUUGGUAUAAACUGUGUUGUACUUCAGUCUGUUAAAUGGAUCUGCCCCGCAUGAUUAGAUGUGAUGUAUAUAAUGAAAAAUAAACCAUUUAAAAUACACUAAAA
ensembl:lncRNA